rnacentral:rRNA from 1 species
UGAGGAAUAUUGGACAAUGGGCGCAAGCCUGAUCCAGCCAUGCCGCGUGCAGGAAGAAGCAUCUAUGGUGUGUAAACUGCUUUUGUACGGGAAGAAACACUCCUUCGUGAAGGAGCUUGACGGUACCGUAAGAAUAAGGAUCGGCUAACUCCGUGCCAGCAGCCGCGGUAAUACGGAGGAUCCAAGCGUUAUCCGGAAUCAUUGGGCUUAAAGGGUCCGUAGGCGGUUUAGUAAGUCAGUGGUGAAAGCCCAUCGCCCAACGAUGGAACGGCCAUUGAUACUGCUAGACUUGAAUUAUUAGGAAGUAACUAGAAUAUGUAGUGUAGCGAUGAAAUGCUUAGAUAUUACAUGGAAUACCAAUUGCGAAGGCAGGUUACUACUAAUGGAUUGACGAUGAUGGACAAAAGCGUGGGGAGCGAACA